UUCGCCCUUAGAGUUUGAUCCUGGCUCAGGACGAACGCUGGCGGCGCGCCUAACACAUGCAAGUCGAACGGAGCUGAGAGAAGCUUGCUUUUCUUAGCUUAGUGGCGAACGGGUAAGUAACGCGUGAGUAACCUGCCCUGGAGUGGGGGACAACAGUUGGAAACGACUGCUAAUACCGCAUAAGCCCACGGCCCGGCAUCGGGCUGAGGGAAAAGGAUUUAUUCGCUUCAGGAUGGACUCGCGUCCAAUUAGCUAGUUGGUGAGGUAACGGCCCACCAAGGCGACGAUUGGUAGCCGGACUGAGAGGUUGAACGGCCACAUUGGGACUGAGACACGGCCCAGACUCCUACGGGAGGCAGCAGUGGGGGAUAUUGCACAAUGGGGGAAACCCUGAUGCAGCGACGCCGCGUGGAGGAAGAAGGUUUUCGGAUUGUAAACUCCUGUCGUUAGGGACGAUAAUGACGGUACCUAACAAGAAAGCACCGGCUAACUACGUGCCAGCAGCCGCGGUAAAACGUAGGGUGCAAGCGUUGUCCGGAAUUACUGGGUGUAAAGGGAGCGCAGGCGGACCGGCAAGUUGGAAGUGAAAACUAUGGGCUCAACCCAUAAAUUGCUUUCAAAACUGCUGGCCUUGAGUAGUGCAGAGGUAGGUGGAAUUCCCGGUGUAGCGGUGGAAUGCGUAGAUAUCGGGAGGAACACCAGUGGCGAAGGCGACCUACUGGGCACCAACUGACGCUGAGGCUCGAAAGCAUGGGUAGCAAACAGGAUUAGAUACCCUGGUAGUCCACACCGUAAACGAUGAUUACUAGGUGUUGGAGGAUUGACCCCUUCAGUGCCGCAGUUAACACAAUAAAGUAAUCCACCUGGGGGGUACGGACCGCAAGGUUGAAACUCAAAGGAAUUGACGGGGGCCCGCACAAGCAGUGGAGUAUGUGGUUUAAUUCGACGCAACGCGAAGAACCUUACCAAGUCUUGACAUCCUGCGACGGACAUAGAAAUAUGUUUUUCCUUCGGGACGCAGAGACAGGUGGUGCAUGGUUGUCGUCAGCUCGUGUCGUGAGAUGUUGGGUUAAGUCCCGCAACGAGCGCAACCCUUAUGGUCAGUUACUACGCAAGAGGACUCUGGCCAGACUGCCGUUGACAAAACGGAGGAAGGUGGGGAUGACGUCAAAUCAUCAUGCCCUUUAUGACUUGGGCUACACACGUACUACAAUGGCGUUAAACAAAGAGAAGCAAGACCGCGAGGUGGAGCAAAACUCAGAAACAACGUCCCAGUUCGGACUGCAGGCUGCAACUCGCCUGCACGAAGUCGGAAUUGCUAGUAAUCGUGGAUCAGCAUGCCACGGUGAAUACGUUCCCGGGCCUUGUACUCACCGCCCGUCA
rnacentral:rRNA from 1 species